rnacentral:rRNA from 1 species
GAUGAACGCUAGCGGGAGGCUUAACACAUGCAUGCCGAGGGGUAUAAUUAGUUAGCUUGCUAACAGAUUAGAGACCGGCGGAUGGGUGUAGUAACGCGUAUGAAACUUGCCCUAGUCAAGGGGAUAGCUCAGGGAAACUUGAACUUAAUACCUUAUAAUAUAUCGAGAGGCAUCUCUUGAUAUUGAAAGAUUUAUCGGACUAGGAUAGUCAUGCGUCAGAUUAGUUAGUUGGUAAGGUAACGGCUUACCAAGACGAUGAUCUGUAGGGGGCCUGACGAGGGUGAUCCCCCCACACUGGUACUGAGACACGGGACCAGACUCCUACGGGAGGCAGCAGUGAGGAAUAUUGGACAAUGGGUUAGCGCCUGAUCCAGCCAUCCCGCGUGAAGGAAGACGGCCUUAUGGGUUGUAAACUUCUUUUGUAUAGGAAUAAACCCUACCCUCGUGAGGGUAGUUGAAGGUACUUUACGAAUAAGCAUCGGCCUAACCCCGUGCCAGCAGCCGCCGCAGUAAU